UGUGUUUGACCAAGUUUUGCCACAAAUUAUAAAUAAGGCAAUUUAUGCAUUUAAACUUAUGAGCCC
rnacentral:tRNA from 1 species